AUAGGGGUGGAUUCCUGAAAUGGGUCCACCCCGAAAGUAGGUGGGGGAAUGGCCCCACUGAGGCCUUAGGAUGGGACCGUGGCCCAUCAGGUAGUAGGUGGGGUAACGGCCCACCUAGCCUAAGACGGGUGCGGGCGGUGGGAGCCGGAGCCCGGAGAUGGGCACUGAGACAAGGGCCUAGGCCCUACGGGGCGCAGCAGGCGCGAAACUUCCCCAAUGCGCGGAAGCGCGAGGGAGCGAGCCCGAGUGCCGUCCGCUGAGGGCGGCUGUUCCCGGGUGUAAAGAGCCCGGGGUAGGAAGGGGAGGGUAAGGCUGGUGCCAGCCGCCGCGGUAAAACCAGCUCCUCGAGGGGUCCCCACGCAUACUGGGCCUAAAGCGUCCGUAGCCGGCCCCGUAAGUCCCCGGUUAAAUCCACCGGAAGACCGGUGGGCUGCUGGGGAUACUGCGGGGCUAGGGAGCGGGAGGGGCCGAGGGUAUUCCGGGGGAUAGCGGUAAAAUGCGUAGAUCCCCGGAGGACCACCAGUGGCGAAGGCGCUCGGCUGGAACGCGUCCGACGGUGAGGGACGAAAGCUGGGGGAGCAAACCGGAUUAGAUACCCGGGUAGUCCCAGCCGUAAACGAUGCCGGCUAGGUGCCGGCCGGGGUUUCGGCCUCGGCCGGUGUCGAAGCGAAG
rnacentral:rRNA from 1 species